rnacentral:rRNA from 1 species
AACGAACGCUGGCGGCAUGCCUAACACAUGCAAGUCGAACGAAGGCUUCGGCCUUAGUGGCGCACGGGUGCGUAACGCGUGGGAAUCUGCCCCCUGGUUCGGAAUAACAGCGAGAAAUUGCUGCUAAUACCGGAUGAUGACGUAAGUCCAAAGAUUUAUCGGCAGGGGAUGAGCCCGCGUAGGAUUAGGUAGUUGGUGGGGUAAGAGCCUACCAAGCCGACGAUCCUUAGCUGGUCUGAGAGGAUGAUCAGCCACACUGGGACUGAGACACGGCCCAGACUCCUACGGGAGGCAGCAGUGGGGAAUAUUGGACAAUGGGCGCAAGCCUGAUCCAGCAAUGCCGCGUGAGUGAUGAAGGCCUUAGGGUUGUAAAGCUCUUUUACCCGGGAUGAUAAUGACAGUACCGGGAGAAUAAGCUCCGGCUAACUCCGUGCCAGCCGCCGCAGUAAAAC